UAUGUAGGCGGUUAGGUAAGCCUGGUGUGAAAUCUACGAGCUCAACUCGUAAACUGCAUUGGGUACUGCUUGACUUGAAUCACGGAGGGGAAACCGGAAUUCCAAGUGUAGGGGUGGAAUCUGUAGAUAUUUGGAAGAACACCGGUGGCGAAGGCGGGUUUCUGGCCGAUAAUUGACGCUGAGAUGCGAAAGUGUGGGGAUCGAACAGGA
rnacentral:rRNA from 1 species